GGAUAAUCGGGAGAAAUCCCUUCUAAUACCGCGUAAUGCCGCGGGGCUGCAUGGCCCUGCGGCCAAAGGGAGCGAUUCCGGCAACGGAUGGGCAUGCGUGACAUUAGCUAGUUGGCGGGGCAACGGCCCACCAAGGCGACGAUGUCUAGGGGUUCUGAGAGGAAGGUCCCCCACACUGGUACUGAGACACGGACCAGACUCCUACGGGAGGCAGCAGUGAGGAAUAUUGGUCAAUGGGCGCGAGCCUGAACCAGCCAAGUCGCGUGAGGGAUGACGGCCCUACGGGUUGUAAACCUCUUUUGUCGGGGAGCAAAUUCCGCCACGUGUGGCGGAGUCGAGAGUACCCGAAGAAAAAGCAUCGGCUAACUCCGUGCCAGCAGCCGCGGUAAUACGGAGGAUGCGAGCGUUAUCCGGAUUUAUUGGGUUUAAAGGGUGCGUAGGCGGACUGUCAAGUCAGCGGUAAAAUACGGGGGCUCAACCUCCGCCCGCCGUUGAAACUGACGGUCUUGAGUGGGCGAGAAGUAUGCGGAAUGCGUGGUGUAGCGGUGAAAUGCAUAGAUAUCACGCAGAACUCCGAUUGCGAAGGCAGCAUACCGGCGCCCGACUGACGCUGAAGCACGAAAGCGUGGGUAUCGAACAAGAUUAGAUACCCUGGUAGUCCACGCAGUAAACG
rnacentral:rRNA from 1 species